GAUGAACGCUGGCGGCGUGCCUAAUACAUGCAAGUCGAGCGAACAGAUGAGGAGCUUGCUCCUCUGACGUUAGCGGCGGACGGGUGAGUAACACGUGGAUAACCUACCUAUAAGACUGGGAUAACUUCGGGAAACCGGAGCUAAUACCGGAUAAUAUAUUGAACCGCAUGGUUCAAUAGUGAAAGACGGUUUUGCUGUCACUUAUAGAUGGAUCCGCGCCGCAUUAGCUAGUUGGUAAGGUAACGGCUUACCAAGGCAACGAUGCGUAGCCGACCUGAGAGGGUGAUCGGCCGCCCGGGAGGUGGGACGGCGUCCAGACUCCUACGGGAGGCAGCAGUAGGGAAUGGUCCGCAAUGGGCGGAAGCCUGACGGAACAACGCCGCGUGAGUGAUGAAGGUCUUGGGAUCGUAAAACUCUGUUAUGAGGGAAGAACAAAUGUGUAAGUAACUAUGCACUGCGUGACGGUAACUAGUCAGAAAGCAACGGCUAACUACGUG
rnacentral:rRNA from 1 species